AACCCCUUUCACUUGGCUCUCAUUCUUCUUGUCUGCUGCCAUAUGAGAUGUACCUUUCACCCUCCACCAUGAUUGUGAGGCCUCUCCAGCCACAUGGAACUGACAGCACAUGUGGCUUUCCUGCAAUGGGAUCGUCCUUCAAGAGGACCUCACAGGCUCUCCACCCGGACUGUGACGUAAGCAGCUGCAGCAGCCUUGGAUGUUUCUGGAUAGCCAGCCCCAUGAGAACAGCUUUAAAAUAGGAGACUGGCAUUGUGAUGAAGUGUGGACUUCGCUGUCAUAUAGACCUGGAUUUAAAUCCUGGCUUCAGUGUUUAUGGAUGACGUUGGACAAGUCAUUUAACCUCCUUAAGUCUCAGAGUUCUCAUUACGGAAAUGGAGCUCUUAAUAGUACCUACCCCCUAGUGUGGUUGUGAGGGUUGAGAUCAUCUAUGUUCAAAGUGCUUAUUAUACAGAGACGGGGACAUGUAAGUGCUACAUAAAUGUUAGCUUUUAUUAGUCACUGGAGUGGAGGAGAGAGGACUGUUGCCUCCUUGUCAAUGUCCCCAUCCUGGGAAGCCUGCCUGUGUGCACCAAGGCCCAUCUGACCCAUAUAUCAGAAAAGGUGCCCUUCUAGGGAGCGACACCCCCCACCAAGCCCCCCAGUCGCUGUCCAUGCUUUCCUCUAGGUUCAAAAUGCAGCUGCAUCUGUGCAGAAACCAGGUGUUGCCUGUGAGUUCUGCCUCGCUGGCCAGAGGUGGAAGGAAGGAGGAAAGGAGAGGGGCCUCCAUACUUCCAGAGCCCCACUGGGGGUUACCUUCGCUUGCCCCCACUCUUUUUGUCUUGCUCUGAGGAUGCCAGGACUUUAAGGACAUUGUCAGCGAGCACAGAAAGAAUCUCAGUCAUCUGGACUGCUUUGUGCUAUAUGAAAAUCUCUGAGAACCUUCAAGAGCCCAAAAACAGUUCUCCUCCAUGCUGUAUGCCAUGGUCAGUGGUUAAAGAGAACAUUUUGUUCCACUCCUCCAGCUCUGCCUUAGAAACCCAAGCCCUGCACUCCAAGGCUCCUGGCAUCGUACACCAGCACCAGCAAUUUUCUGCCAAAAGCAUCAGCCAAAAUCUAUUCUAUCUAUUUCAGUUCCUCUCUUUUCAUCGGAUUGUAUUUUUACAGGUGAUUGCUGAUUCUCACACUGCUCUUCAGAUUCAUGUACAGCUGUGGUCUGAAUGUGUGUGUUUUCUCAAAAUUCAAGUUUAAAACUUAAUCCUCAAUGUGAUAGUAUCAACAGCUGCGGCCUUUUGGAAAGUGAAGGUGGAGCCCUCGUGAGUGGGAUUAGAGCUCUUAUAAAAGAGAUUGAAGGGAGCUACCUAGCCCUUCCAUCUCUUCUGCCUUGUGAGGACACAGUGUUCAUCCCUUUUGUCUUCCCACCAUUUGAAGAUGCAGAAAGAAGGUGCCAUCUUGGAAGCAAAGAGCAGCCCUCACCAGACACCAAGUCUGCUGGCACCUUGAUCUUGGACUUCCCAGCCUCCAGGACUGUGAGAAAUGAAUUUCUGUUGUUUAUAAAUUACCUAGUCUAAGGUAUGCUGUUACAGUAGCAGGAAUGGACUAAGACACACAUUGUCAAAAUCUUCAUGAGUUAAAGGUGAAGGUACAAUCAGAACUGGUGCAUGGAAUUGGAACCAUAGGUCUUAGUAAACACUGUAAAAAUGCACUAUUCAAAUCUACAGAAAAUGCUCUCUCUUCAAGUUCAGAAAGAAGCUACAAUCUGCUUUUCCUUUUUUUCUGAAGGGAAGUAAAAUUCUAUGUUUCUGGACUAAGAGGUCUACACCCCAGUCUUUCUCUUUCUGACAUGUAUAGUAAUCUUUGGCAAAUUACUCAAGCUUUCUUUGUUCUGGUGAAAAUAAAGUGCACAGGACAGUAUUACUAAGAGGCCUGAGCAACAUUAGAGGUUGAUAACGAUGGUUCCAAAGGCCUUUAAGAAGGUGUAAUGCUAUGUGGAUGUUUUUAUUGAAACCUUCCCUGGGUUUUCAGAAUUCUCUUUGGAAUUAGUCCUGUGGGAAUAUGCCUUUUGGGAUCUAUUCUCACCUCUUAUUCAGUCCCCCUUUUCUUGCAUUACAAUCUACAAUUUGAAGUUAUUCUGUCAUUUAAAAAUUAGGUCCAUGACCUCAUCAUCACCGGGUUUUCCUCUCCAGGCCAUUUCCAGUAGAAUGUUGGUCAUAUUCUCAUGUGAGAGAACAAAUCAGUUAUUCAUUACAUCUGAUCAAUGAGCUAGUACUACACCAUAAGGAAGUGUAGUAAAACCAGAAACUGGGAAACACCCGAAAAAAUUUGCUUUGUCCUGUGUUUUAAUUUGGGGUAUGAUAAAGUGCCACAGGACAUUAAUCCAGGGACUGAGAUAGACUCUUAAGUUUGGCAAUCAGUGAAAGAACUUGCUGAAUCUCUCUAGAAUUAACCUAAAGGAGCCAGCCUCUUUUCUCAUGAGAACAAUUUAUUUUAGGGUUAGUGGUGAAUUAAUUCUACAGUGUUUAAUUCCACAUAUAAACUUCAUUUUCUAUAUAAAUGUUUUGUUGUAACAUAUUCAAUUACUUCCUUUUGUUGUUUUUCUGCAACAUUCCCUUUUUCACCUUUUCUAACCUCUUAAACCAAAUAAAAAACUCACUUAUCUUCUUGCUGUUGUAAUAUUUGCUUUCCUUUCUUGUUUAUACUCUGUAAUGAUGUUUACCCGAUCUGUCCACAUCACCUGGAUUCCAGGUGUACCAUUCAUGCCCUGGGGAAAGCAGUCAUUCUUCAAGGCAACAGAUGCAAGAAUGAGCUCAUGUCAAAUGAUAUUUUCUGAUUUUUUUCUCCAGAUGUGGGGAACGAAAUUGGAUCUUGUGCUUUUGGGUGCUAACUUUGAGCCCUCUUCCUUUACAUCUAAAUGACAAUUUGUGGAUCAAUGAGGAUGUGUCAACUAGCCAAGAUCGAGGACCUGGAGGGGUGCUCUGUGGAAACUGCUUUAAAAUCCUUCAGAGGGUGGGCACGGAGCUCUGGUUCUGGUUGAAGAGUCCUGUCAAGGCCAUCUCAAAAGGAGAAGCAAAGCCUGCAGAGGAGGCCAGCCUGAGUCCUGGGGUGCGAACGGGUGCUGCGCUCAGCAUGAGGAGGAGGAGACCCUGGCCACAGUUCCAUGAAUCUUUGCUCCCUUCCACAUUAUGGAUUCUGGUAAAUUCAUUGGCCUACGCAAGUCUGAGCUCUAGGUCUGAACCCGCAUGGACCUGAGGGUGCACCGAGAAAAGAAAGGCUGACAACUGGAUCCCGGGAAUGUCAAGGCCACCCUGGGCUUGAAGGGACCGGCCAUGCCUCCAAGCCUUGCCCAGAGAGGGGGUUCAGGAUGCUGCGUGGUUCCAGGUGAUCUAUUGCUUUCUCGAGUUUAAAGUUCAGAGGAUCAUGAAGUACCACAGCUGGAAGGGGUGUAAGUGACACUGCCUAGCCUAACUCUCUUAAAAAUCAUAGCCCUACUCCUGCCUCCCCAAAUCAGAUACGACAGGCAUAGGCUCUGACUGUUCCUUAAGUCUUAGUGGCAAUACUCCCUGACCAGUUUUGCGGGGUUGCUCCCAGUUCCAUUGCUUUUGUAACAGGUGGCCAGAAAGCCUGGGGUCCCGUGAUAAGAGUUUCAGUUCUUUCCAGGAUGGAUGGAAAGAAGGAAGGAAGGAUGGAUGGAUGGAUGAAUGAAUGAGCGGGUGAGCGGAUGGAUGGAUGGAUGGAUGGAUGGAUGGAUAGAUGGGCCAGAGACUGGGAACGGUAAUGCCGGCCAGACGGGUCCGAGCGCCUCGGGAGCCCCAGCCCUCCUCCGGCUGCGGGGCCGCUGCUCCUGCUCCCGGGCCGUCACGGAGCCCUGAGGGAGGGG
rnacentral:lncRNA from 1 species